UGGCUCAGAACGAACGCUGGCGGCGCGUUUAAGCAUGCAAGUCGAGCGGCAAGGGCCUUCGGGCCCCUAGAGCGGCGGACGGGUGAGUAACACGUGGACAAUCUGCCCCCCGGCCCGGGAUAGCCCAGGGAAACCUGGAUUAAUACCGGAUGAGACGGGACCCGCGAUGGCGGGAUCCGGGAAAGGCGCUGCGGCGCCGCCGGGGGAUGAGUCUGCGUCCCAUUAGCUAGACGGCGGGGUAACGGCCCACCGUGGCGACGAUGGGUAGCCGGCCUGAGAGGGUGGACGGCCACAUUGGAACUGAGACACGGUCCAGACUCCUACGGGAGGCAGCAGCUAAGAAUCUUCCGCAAUGGGCGAAAGCCUGACGGAGCGACGCCGCGUGAACGAAGAAGGCCGUGAGGUUGUAAAGUUCUUUUCGGGAGGGGGAACAACCGUGGCAGGGAAUGGCCGCGGGAUGACGUGAAUCCCGGAAUAAGCCCCGGCUAACUACGUGCCAGCAGCAGC
rnacentral:rRNA from 1 species